CUGAGUACGGCGGAACACGUGAAAUUCCGUCGGAAUCCGGGAGGACCAUCUCCCAAGGCUAAAUACUCCCUAGUGACCGAUAGUGAACCAGUACCGUGAGGGAAAGGUGAAAAGCACCCCGGAAGGGGAGUGAAACAGUUCCUGAAACCGUGUGCCUACAAGUAGUUAGAGCCCGUUAAUGGGUGAUAGCGUGCCUUUUGUAGAAUGAACCGGCGAGUUACGAUUUG
rnacentral:rRNA from 1 species